UUCCUCAGUAACGGCGAAGUGAAGCGGUAACAGCUCAAAUUUGAAAUCUGGCUCUUUCAGGGUCCGAGUUGUAAUUUGUAGAAGUGGCUUCGGGUGUGGCUCCGGUCUAAGUUCCUUGGAACAGGGACGUUACAUAGAGGGUGAGAAUCCCGUAUGUGACCUGGUUGCCUUCGCCCAUGAUGAAGCUCUUUCGACGAGUCGAGUUUGUUUGGGAAUGCAGCUCUAAAUGGGAAGGUAAAUUUCUUCUAAAAGCUAAAUAUUGGCCAGAGACCGAUAGCGCACAAGUAGAGUGAUCGAAAGAUGAAAAGCACUUUGGAAAGAGAGUUAAACAGUACGUGAAAUUGUUGAAAGGGAAGCGCUUGCAACCAGACUUGCCUGCCGUCGAUCAUCCUCCGUUCUCGGUGGUGCACUCGGCGGUGGUCAGGCCAGCAUCGGUUUUGGUGGUGGGAUAAAGACCUUAGGAAUGUGGCUCCUCUCGGGGAGUGUUAUAGCCUUCGGUGCAAUGCCGCCUACUGGGACCGAGGACCGCGCUUCGGCUAGGAUGCUGGCGUAAUGGUUGUAAGCGACCCGUCUUGAAACACGGACCAAGGAGUCUAACAUCUAUGCGAGUGUUUGGGUGUUAAACCCAUACGCGUAAUGAAAGUGAACGGAGGUGAGAACCCUUUAGGGUGCAUCAUCGACCGAUCCUGAUGUCUUCGGAUGGAUUUGAGUAAGAGCAUAGCUGUUGGGACCCGAAAGAUGGUGAACUAUGCCUAAAUAGGGUGAAGCCAGAGGAAACUCUGGUGGAGGCUCGCAGCGGUUCUGACGUGCAAAUCGAUCGUCAAAUUUGGGUAUAGGGGCGAAAGACUAAUCGAACCAUCUAGUAGCUGGUUCCUGCGA
rnacentral:rRNA from 1 species